AAAUGAGGAAAAGUGGUGCUGGCAUUCGUCUUCAGCCACCGGCCUCCUUAUGGCUGUGACUCGGUCUGCUUUUGAUGAAUGGCCAGGAGGUAUGGAGGAUAGUUAGAUUUCCUGUUGUGGAUUUUCAGGCAUCACCGAGACUGCUGUCAAGCCUGCAGUCAUUUACUAGUUUUCAUAUCGACUGCAGGUUCUCUUUGAGCAGUUCAGUUUUUGGUGCUUAAGGGCAGGUGCACAACGGGGUCUGGGGUUAGACCAGGCGGUGGAUAGUCUUGAUGCUAGGCAGAUGCAGUUAUCCCUACCAGGCCCAGAGGGUGACUCUGUUUAACUUCACCACGCACGCAGAUUCAGGAUUCUCUGAUUUCCCCAACUUUCCUUUAUUCUUCUUUUAGUGGGAGAAGGGGCAAAAGUAGAAACCUAAAAAAUCCUGGGAAAAGGAGCCUUUUCUGAGGAAACUUCAGCAGAUGAAAUAUUUAAGACUUGAACUGGGAUCUCUAGGGGGAACGUUGGAACAUCUAUUGAUUGAUGUGUCAAAGUCCGGAAUUUCACUGUAAUUAGUGAACGAUUAUAACUUGUAACUUUGUCUGUUAUGUAAGAAAUUACAUUUUGGUCUCUUAGAUCCAAGAGUUCUUGUCUGUUACGAUUUGUAACUGCUUGUUAAAAUUAAACAUUUACAUAUUUCAUUCUCA
ensembl:lncRNA novel transcript, sense intronic to IRF2